UCAUUCCUACGCAUGCGCUGUGCGCCGCAUCCUCCCGCUGAGCAGCCGCACUGCGCGUGCGCCGACUGAAUGCCAACCAAGCGACGCAUGCGCCACCACACAGACCACGGCUUCCAGCCACUUGGCGCAUGCAUUGAGAGCUGCGAUCGACACUCCACGCAGGCACUAGCGCUCCGCCUUUUGAAUGACGUAACACGCAGGGAACGUCAUAACAGGACACCUUUAAGGAGCAGGAGGGGCUUCAGAGGCACGGUGGGUCCAAAACCAUCCAUCUACCUUCCCUGUGCAGCCAUCUCGUGAUGUAUUAAAGCAGAAUGUUAACAUAUGAUGUCAUAUCACAGAGCUCUGCUUCCAGGAGGUCAUGCCGGAGCUGCGAUUGGGUUUUCAGGCAGUAAAUAUUUUAUGGAGACAUUUCCGCGCUCAUCAAUCUGUACAGAAAACAUUGUGGUUUUGCCACUCCUGUUUUCUCACCUUCUACUUAUUAGAAUGUAAAUUGAAUAACAUUAAAACUUUCUUUUUUUCGUAUCGUACAA